UUUUGUUUGUUUUUUUCUAUCUAUCUAUUUCUUUUCAAUCGAAAACUGCACAAAAUGCUCAAAAGUGCACAGACUCGAGCAGAGGUAGUACGUGCUUCAAGAUUUCCACAAUUGAUAAUAUUGACAACAAAACAAAAACAAUUGUCUAAUGCAAAAACUAAACAACAAAUUUGUUCAAGUUCAAGUUUAGUGCAAAUCGCAAGAUCAGAUAGUUAGGAUCGUCGCUGGGGCAACAAAAUGAAACUCUAUUUUAAAGAGCGCGUUCGAGUGAUAACUGUAAUUGCAACAGCGAUAUGAUGAAUGAAUAUAACUCAGCUCCUGCGCAGAUGACUCAGCAUUGUGUUUGGCAUUGGAGUUGACAAGGCAUUGGAGCACAGUUUGAAAGGCUUUUAAUGCACGCACACGCACACGCACACGCAUACGCAUACGCAUAUGCAUACGUAUGCACAUGCACACAUACAGCUGUCGGUUAACAUUGGCGCACUAAGCUUUGGAGUGAAUGUGAAUAACAGCAGCAGCAGCAGCAACAACAACAACAGAGGGAACAGCAGAUAAUUGCGGAGUGAGGUAAAGUGAUUGGAAUUGCGAUAAGCUGCCGCCACUUUGUAGGUGACCCUUUUGGCUGAAGAAUACAAUUUGAAGGGCGUUCUCUCCUGCUCUCUCUCUCUCUCACACACGCACACAAUGUGUCGUUUACCACCUUUAACAGAAACCCACUGCCCUGCAAGCAAUUGUCACACACACACACACACACACGGACACGCUAUUGCAUUCAUUGAGGAUCGCAUAUCGUAAGCGUAUAUCGUAUUUGACCAGCU